rnacentral:snRNA from 1 species
GGAUGCUAGGGCGAUCUAGCUGUGACAUCUGUCACCCCACUGAUCGCCAGGGUUGAUUCAGCUGGUCUGACUGGCUAGGCGGGUGUUCCCUUCCUCCCUCAAUGCUCCCUGUCCGUCCUUCCCGAAGCUGCUCCCUCGGUCGAAGAGGACGACCACCCCGAUAGAGGAAGACUGUCCUCAGUCAAGGGUAUAGGAGUAGCUGCACUUCCCUGCUAGAACCUCCAAACAAGCUCUCAAGGUCCAAACUAAUGUUGUCUUUAAUCUACCAGAUUUGUACUCUCCUUGUUCAA